rnacentral:rRNA from 1 species
GGUGAACGCUGGCGGCGUGCCUAAGACAUGCAAGUCGAGCGGGGCAGGAGUAUACCUGUUCUGCGGCGGACGGGGGAGUAACGCGUGGGUGACCUACCCGGAAGAGGCGGACAACCUGGGGAAACCCAGGCUAAUCCGCCAUGUGGUCCUGUCCUGCGGGGUAGGACUAAAGGGUGGAUAGCCCGCUUCCGGCUGGGCUCGCGUCCCAUCAGGUAGUUGGUGGGGUAAAGGCCCACCAAGGCGACGACGGGUAGCCGGUCUGAGAGGAUGGCCGGCGACAGGGGCACUGGGCCACGGGGCGAACUCCUACGGGGGGAGGCAGUUAGGAAGCUGCAGCAAUGGACGGAAGUCAGACGGAGCGACGACGAGUGGAGGAGGAAGCAAUGCGGGGUGUAAACUAAUGAACUGGGGACGAAAGCCAUGUGUAGGGGGAUGACGGUACCCAGGUAAUAGCACCGGCCAACUCCGUG